rnacentral:rRNA from 1 species
GGAGAGGACCGUAUGGUCCGCCCGUCGGAUUCAGUCCGCCUGCGCGGCGACGGCGCCGGUCGCGCAUCCCUCGUGGGAGCGCGCCGGCGUCCGCCUCGUCGUGCGGCGGCCGUACUUUCGGCGGGCGGAGCGCCACGACCGGUUCGUCGGCGGCGAUAAACUCCCGGGCAAGGUGACCUUCGUCUCGGCGCAGGAGCAUACAGGCCCGGCGAGCGCAGGCCCGUCGGCGGACCGAGGAAGACCGUCGCGGAGCGGCGUCGACCGCCCGUCGUGUGGUUGUGUUCGACUCGGGGGGACUGGUUCCAGUGCCCUCGGACCGCGCGAUCGCAACGGCGGGACGGCCCGGCGUCGCGCCUGGGGUCGGUGGCGAAACGGCCGGCAACCUGUCCGACCCGUCUUGAAACACGGACCAAGGAGUCUAACAUGUGCGCGAGUCGUUGGGCGCUACGAAACCCGAAGGCGCAAUGAAAGUGAAGGCCCGGUCUCCGGCCGGCCUGGGUGGGAUCCGGCGGCCUCGGCCGUCGGCGCACCACCGGCCCGUCUCGUUCGCCGCGUCGAAGAGGCGGAGCAAGAGCGUACACGUUGGGACCCGAAAGAUGGUGAACUAUGCCCGAGUAGGACGAAGCCAGAGGAAACUCUGGUGGAGGUCCGCAGCGAUUCUGACGUGCAAAUCGAUCGUCAAACUUGGGUAUAGGGGCGAAAGACUAAUCGAACCAUCUAGUAGCUGGUUCCUGUCGAAGUUUCCCUCAGGAUAGCUGGCGCUCGUCGUGAGCAGUUUUAUCCGGUAAAGCGAAUGACUGGAGGCCUUGGGGACGAAACGUCCUCAACCUACUCUCAAACUUUAAAUGGGUAAGACGUCCGACUCGCUCGAUUGGAGCCGGGCAACGAAUG